AUGGCUUUUGUGCAACGUCGAAAGAGUCCUGAUGUAGUGGGGUCGUUCGGCUUGUUACAGCCUCUAGCAGAUGGUUUUAAAUUGAUUCUAAAAGAACCUAUUUCACCAAGUAGUGCUAAUUUCUCCCUUUUUAGAAUGGCUCCGGUGGCUACAUUUAUGUUAAGUCUGGUCGCUUGGGCCAUUGUACCUUUUGAUUAUGGUAUGGUAUUGUCAGAUCCGAAAAUAGGCGUUUAUUUGUUUGCCAUAUCUUCGCUAGGUGUUUAUGGAAUAAUUAUAGGAGGUUGGUCUAGUAAGACAGGGGGGCGGCCGUUCGGUCGCCUAUGA
rnacentral:rRNA from 1 species